rnacentral:rRNA from 1 species
UACUUCUCAGCAGCCGCGGUAACACGUAGAUGGCAAGCGUUUUCCGGAAUUAUUGGGCGUAAAGCGCGGGCAGGCGGCCUCUUAAGUCUGAUGUGAAAACCCCCGGCUCAACCGGGGAGGGCCAUUGGAAACUGGGAGGCUUGAGUAUAGGAGAGAAGAGUGGAAUUCCACGUGUAGCGGUGAAAUGCGUAGAGAUGUGGAGGAACACCAGUGGCGAAG